GGAUGAAGAACGUAGCGAAAUGCGAUAAGUAGUGUGAAUUGCAGAAUUCAGUGAAUCAUCGAAUCUUUGAACGCACAUUGCGCCCCUUGGUAUUCCAUGGGGCAUGCCUGUUCGAGCGUCAUUUGUACCUUCAAGCUUUGCUUGGUGUUGGGUGUUUGUCUCGCCUUUGCGUGUAGACUCGCCUUAAAAUAAUUGGCAGCCGGCGUAUUGAUUUCGGAGCGCAGUACAUCUCGCGCUUUGCACUCAUAACGACAGCGUCCAAAAGUACAUUUUACACUCUUGACCUCGGAUCAGGUAGGGAUACCCGCUGAACUUAAGCAUAUCAUAAGCGGAGGA
rnacentral:misc_RNA from 1 species